CCUACGGGUGGCAGCAGUGGGGAAUAUUGCACAAUGGGGGAAACCCUGAUGCAGCGACGCCGCGUGAGUGAAGAAGUAAUUCGUUAUGUAAAGCUCUAUCAGCAGGGAAGAAAAUGACGGUACCUGAGUAAGAAGCCCCGGCUAACUACGUGCCAGCAGCCGCGGUAAUACGUAGGUGGCAAGCGUUAUCCGGAUUUACUGGGUGUAAAGGGAGCGUAGGCGGCAGUGCAAGUCUGGAGUGAAAGGCGUCGGCUCAACCCACGGAGUGCACCGGAAACUGUACGGCUGGAGUGCAGAAGAGGACAGUGGAACUCCAAGUGUAGCGGUGAAAUGCGUAGAUAUAAGGAGGAACACCAGUGGCGAAGGCGGCUGACUGGACUGCAACUGACGCUGAGGCUCGAAAGCAUGGGGAGCAAACAGGAUUAGAUACCCCUGUAGUC
rnacentral:rRNA from 1 species